AGACCACUUCUUGACUAUUCAGAGAUCACAUAGCUAAAAUCAACAACCACAGUGAAGCUACUGCUCUGAUCUUGAGUUCUUCUAUUUCAGUUCUGUAGGGCACAACAACACAUUCCUCACCAGCCACCCCCAGAUUUAUUUUUUUUUUUUAAUUUCUUCUAAAAAAAGGCAGGGGAUACAUGUGCAGAAUGUGCUUUUUUUUGAGACAGGUCUCACUCUGUCACCCUGGCUGGAGUGCAGUGGUGCAAUCGUGGCUCACUGAAACCUCUGCCUUUCAGCUUCAAGCAAUUCUCCUGCCUCAGCCUCCUGAGUAGCUGGGACUAAAGGGACGUGCCACCAUGCCCGGCUAAUUUUUGUAUUUUUUGUAGAGAUGGGGUUUCACCAUGUUGGCCAGGCUGAUCUUGAACUCCUGACCUCAAGUGAUCCACGGGCCUCAGCCUCCCAAAGUGCUGGGAUUACAGGCGUGAGCCACUGCACCUGGCCCACCCCCCCAGAUUUCUUCUGUCAUUGUCAAUUUGCCAAGGGAGUUUCUCUAUAAGGCCACGAUGCAGGUUGGAGACAAGAGCUUCUUACUGCCUUUCAACUGGUCGAAGGCACAGACUUCUGCCAGGCCUGCAGACAGAGCUCAGGAUAAAGAGCCAAGGGUGUGGCCUGUCUCGAGGCCCAUAGAUGUGCGCUCUGCAGGUGGAAUGGCCGUCCGGUGCUUACUUUGACUGUCCUCGGGUCCCGAGUCUUCUGGUGGUUAACUGAGGAAACUGCUGCCUUAUGAUCUAGCAGACGAUGAUAAUUGCUGUUGCCCAGGACAACCACACCAAUUCACAAGAAAUCCGUGAAGAGAGAGCAUCUCUCAAGGUGAAAACAUAACCAUGAGGCCCCUUUCCUUGGGGUUUACGGAGAUGAUGUUUGUGGAGAGGCAUGACAGGGCAGGGGUUACGUGCAAGAACUCUGGAACUCGACUACCUGAAUUGAAUGCAAGCUCAGGCAUUGGUUAGGCUGGAUGCCCUUGGGCAAGUUAUUUAGUAUCCACAUGACUCAGUUUCCCCAUUUGUAAAAUAGGAAUGAUAAUAACCUCUAGAGUUAUUGUGAAAUUUCAAAAAGUGAAUGUAUGUAAAUAGCUGGCAGUAGUGCCUGGCAGUUAGUAAGUACUUAAUAAAUGUUACCCAUUAUUACCA